UACGUAGGGGGCUAGCGUUGUCCGGAAUCAUUGGGCGUAAAGCGCGUGUAGGCGGUUCGGUAAGUCCGCUGUGAAAGUCGGGGGCUCAACCCUCGAAUGCCGGUGGAUACUGUCGGACUAGAGUACGGAAGAGGCGAGUGGAAUUCCUGGUGUAGCGGUGAAAUGCGCAGAUAUCAGGAGGAACACCAGCGGCGAAGGCGGCGCUCUGGGCCGGUACUGACGCUGAGGAGCGAAAGCGUGGGUAGCAAACAGG
rnacentral:rRNA from 1 species